rnacentral:pre_miRNA from 1 species
GAUAUACUUCCUUCGUCAUAAAAUUCUUGUUUUAGAUUGGUAUAAAUAUAAAUGUAUCUAGUCACGUUUUAGUAUUUAGAUAUAUCUAUUUCUAAAUACAUCUAAACAAGAAUUUUAGGACGGAGGAAGUAUUUA